GACAAAAAAAUAGAGCAAAAGAAUUUUUAGUUUUUAGUUUUAACUUUUGAUCUUCGAGUCAAACGAUAUGCCACAGCUUCGGUGAUCUCAAAGAAUAAUUGAGACAAAAUUUUUUUUUUCUUCUUUUGACAAACAAUAUUAUCUACACUAAUAAAAAGGAAGUGAGUUUAGUCUCACAAUGAGCUGGUAAUAAUGUGAUUCAAAUUCACGACGAGAAUCGAAUAUAAAACUUUUCACUUACAAGUAAAGAGAAAUAUCUCUAAACAUAAUACUAACAACAACAAAGCCUUUUCCCACUAAGUGGGGUCGGCUAUAUGAAUCCUAGAACGCCAUUGCGCUCGGUUUUGUGUCAUGUCCUCCGUUAGAUCCAAGUACUCAAGUCUUUUCCUAGGGUCUCUUCCAAAGUUUUCCUAGGUCUUUCUCUACCCCUUCGGUCCUGAACCUCUGUCCCGUAAUCACAUUUUCGAACCGGAGCGUCAGUAGGCCUUCUUUGCACAUGUCCAAACCACCGGAACCGAUUUUCUCUCAUAUUUCCUUCAAUUUUGGCUACUCCUACUUUACCUCGGAUAUCCUCAUUCUCAAUCUUGUCCUUUCUCGUGUGCCCAUACAUCCCACGAAGCAUCCUCAUCUCCGCUACACCCAUUUUGUGUACGUGUUGAUGCUUCACCACCCAACAUUCUGUGCCAUACAACAUCGCGGCCUUAUUGCCGUCCUAUAAAUUUUCCCUUGAGCUUCAGUGGCCUACGACGGUCACACAACACGCCGGAUGCACUCUUACACUUCAUCCAUCCAGCUUGUAUUCUAUGGUUGAGAUCUCCAUCUAAGUCUUCGUUCUCUUGCAAGAUAGAUCCUAGGUAGCGAAAACGGUCACUUUUUGUGAUCUUCGCUAGAUUGCUCCGGUCAUUAGUGUGGAUAAGUAUAUAAAUGGAUAGAGAUAGGAAAGCAAACACAAGAUGUACGUGGUUCACCCAGAUUGGCUACGUCCACGGAAUAGAGGAGUUCUCAUUAAUUGUAAAGGGUUUACACAAGUACAUAGGUUCAAGCUCUCCUUUAGUGAGUACAAGUGAAUGAUUUAGUACAAAUGACAUUAGGAAAUAUUGUGGGAGAAUGAUCUCGUAACCACGAAACUUCUAAGUACCGGAGUGUGGUAUCGUCUUGACUUUCCUUAUCUGUCUCAUAGGUAGAUAUGGCAUCUUCUCUGGAAGUACUCUUCCUCCAUCCAGGGGUGGUAUCUGUAACUGGUGGAGAUGCACAAGGUAAUGUAUCAAUUUCACUUGAAGCUUACUUGUAGUUUCAGGCUUGGUCAAGUGCGAUACAAACCAUGUAGUAGGAGUCCCCAAGUCGCCGAGCUAGGGGAUCUGCUGAAAGAGGUGACAGACAAGGUAAGCAAUCAGGGGCUGAUUGUUCACAUUCUCCCUAUCUUGCAGGCAGCAUGAAGGAUAAAGAGAAGAAAAAUGAGAAGAGAUGAUAUGGGAUACUUUUGCUUUUGAAGAAGUAACUUUCCACAGGCUUAUUCUUGAACUGGGCUGGAGGGUUUUCUGGUUUCCUCCUGAGUAUAAGGCCGACUGAAGAAUUUGAGGGUCAAAACAAGUCCAUCAAAUCUAGAGUACGUUCGACCCUGCUGAUAUGGGAUACUUUUGCUUUUGACAGAGUAGUGGAUGUAUCGGCACGUGUGCUGGUACGCUUGUCUCCACAUGCUUCCUUAUAUCCUUCUCACUUGCCCUAUCUCUUCCUCAGGCAGAUGCGGUAUCUUCCCUGGAAGCAUAAGAUGUUGAAGAUGAGUACUCGAGAGCAAUGCCAGGUAAGUAAUCAGGUAAGGGGUUCCAGGCAGUCAGUUCCUGGCUAGAAGCUUGAUUCCAAGUGCUGACUGAUUGCUCUCUUUCUCCUUGUCUUGCAGGUAAGAACAAGGGCAAAGGAAAAGACAGGGAAAAAGCAUGAUAUGGGAUACUCUUGCUUUUAACCCUGAUGAUAUGAGAUAUUCUUGCUCUAGUAUAGCUUGUUUACAGAGGUGUUAUCGGGGGGAAAGAAAGCUGAAUAUUUCGAAAGGCUUCGUUGGGAGUGCCCUCUCAGAUAAGAGGAAGGGUUGAGCAUUUUUGCAGGUCUGCCUGUCCGUUGGGGAUGGAGGUCGACAUAUAUAGGAGUCUCCCUAACAUCAAGUAAUAAUGUUAUUCCUUUACCCUGCUUGGUCAUAGCACGGUAGUGGGAGCUGUCAGCUUCACAUGUUUUAACUCUGUCAGAGCACUUUGAAAAAGUGGUAUGUGGUAUCUGGAAAGCUGAUGUUGCGUGUGAAGAUUACAGACAAGCUUUAUCCAAGGAGAUCCAGCUCUUGAAGUUGGGAAAGUUGUGCCUCUUCGGUUUUUGAACAAGCAAUCCUGUCGGGGAUCUGGCUCUCGAGAUUCGGAGAACGAUGCCUCUUCGACUUUUGAGAAAGCAAUCUUGCUGGGGGUCUGGCCCUCGAGAUUCGGAGAGCGGUGUCUCUUCGAUUUUUGAGAAAGUAAUCAUGUUGGGACUCUGGCUCUCGAGAUUCGGAGGGCGGUGCCUCUUCGAUUUUGGAGCAAGCAAUCUUGUUGGGAGUGUUUUCUCGAAUGUGAGUAAAGGUUGGGCAUGUUUGCUAGUCUACCUUGCCACGAAGCACAGAGGUUGACACACAGGGACUUUCCAAUUAUCCAGCAGUGGUACUGUUCCUUUACCCUCUCUUCGAUUUUUGAGAAAGUAAUCAUGUUGGGAGUCUGGCUCUCGAGAUUCGGAGGGCGAUGCCUCUUCGAUUUUGGAGCAAGCAAUCUUGUUGGGAGUGUUUUCUCGAAUGUGAGUAAAGGUUGGGCAUGUUUGCUAGUCUACCUUGCCACGAAGCACAGAGGUUGACACACAGGGACUUUCCAAUUAUCCAGCAGUGGUACUGUUCCUUUACCCUCUCUUCGAUAUUUGAGAAAGUAAUCAUGUUGGGAGUCUGGCUCUCGAGAUUCGGAGGGCGGUGCCUCUUCGAUUUUGGAGCAAGCAAUCUUGUUGGGAGUGUUUUCUCGAAUGUGAGUAAAGGUUGGGCAUGUUUGCUAGUUUACCUUGCCACGAAGCACAGAGGUUGACACACCGGGACUUUCCAAUUAUCCAGCAGUGGUACUGUUCCUUUACCCUUGUGGGUAAUAAUAUGGUUGCUAGACCUUCAAAAUUUAUGUGUCUAAACUUUGUUAGUGUUGUUUCUUUGCUAUUCUUUUACCCUUCUUGGUCAGAGCGAUGUAGUGUGAGCUGCAAGCUUCACGUGUCUCAACUUUGUCAGAGAACUUUGGCAAAGUUAUCUGUGGUACCCAUGAGCUACUAUUGCGUGUGGGAAGUGGGUGAUUGAACAGUACGAUUCAUGUGCUUUCUACUUCGUCAGAAAUUUUCGACAGAAUGCCCAUAAUUUCCGCAAAGCUGAGUGUGCGUGUGACAGGUGCUGACAAGGCUGGAAAAGUAGGUGCCUCUUCGAUUUCUGAGAUCGGCCCUCGUGGUCUCUGAGCAGCCCAGCUUUUGAGAAAGCAAGCCUCUUUGAUUUCUGAGAUCGGCCUUCGUGGUCUUUGAGCAGCCCAGCUUUUGAGAAAGCAAACGCCUCUUCAAUUUCUGAGAUCGACCCUCAUGGUCUCUGAGCAGCCCAGCUUUUGAGAAAGCAAACGCCUCUUCGAUUUAUGAGCAGGCGCCUCUUCGAUUUCUGAAGCUUCGUCGAGUGCAGAUUUUUAUAGGGGCUGACAUUAAGUUCCAAAGCACACUUGAAUAUCCACCAGUAGAAGCUCCAUUCUUGCACUUCUAAGAUCUUGAUUUGUCCGACCUCUUCUCUCUUCAACACCUUUGAAAAUGUCUGGCCCCUCCGACCGUCGUUUUGACUUGAACCUUGUUGAAGAGGCAGCCCCGCCUUCUCCAGACAACAUAUGACACCCAUCCUUCGUCUCCUCUACUGGUCCUCUUACCGUUGGGGAUUCCGUGAUGAAUAAUGAUAUGACCGCUGCGGUAGUGGCCAGGAACCUUCUCACUCCCAAAAAUAACAGACUACUUUCCAAACGGUCUGAUGAGUUGGCUGUUAAGGAUUCUCUGGCUCUCAGUGUUCAGUGUGCAGGUUCUGUGUCUAAUAUGGCCCAACGCCUAUUUGCUCGAACCCACCAAGUUGAAUCAUUGGCGGCUGAAGUGAUGAGUCUCAAACAGGAGAUUAAAGGGCUCAAGCAUGAGAAUAAACAGUUGCACCGGCUCGCACAUAACUAUGCUACAAAUAUGAAAAUGAAGCUUGACCAAAUGAAGGAAUCUGAUGGUCAGGUUUUACUUGAUCAUCAGAGAUUUGUGGGUUUGUUCCAAAGGCAUUUAUUGCCUUCGUCUUCUGGGGCUGUACCGCGUAAUGAAGCUCCAAAUGAUCAACCUCUGAUGCCUCCUCCUUCUAGGGUUCUGUUCAGUACUGAGGCUCCGAAUGAUCCCCCUCCGGUGCCUUCUCUUUCUAGGGCUCUACCGACUGCUGAGACUUCUCCUAAGCAACCUUUGUGAAGGCUCCCUCUUGUUUGUUUAUUUUGACUCAAGUAUAUGUACAUAUUUGUAACUUAUCGGGGAUAUCAAUAAAUAAGCUUUCCUUCAUUUCAACGUAUUGUGUUAAAUACACCAAAGCCUUCUUCACUAAGUUCUUUGAAUUUUCUUUUGUUGAAGCUUGUAUGUUGAAGCUUUGUGAGUGGAGCAUGUAGGUUAAGGUAGUGUUCCCUUAAUUUCCCGAGUGAGGAAAACUUCUCGGUUGGAGACUUGGAAAAUCCAAGUCACUGAGUGGGAUCGGCUAUAUGAAUCUUAGAACGCCAUUGUGUUCUGUCCUGUGUCAUGUCCUCCGUUAGAUCCAAGUACUCUAAGUCUUUUCUUAGGGUCUCUUCCAAAGUUUUCCUAGGUCUUUCUCUACCCCUUCGGCCCUGAAUCUCUGUCCCAUAGUCGCAUCUUCUAAUCGGAGCGUCAGUAGGCCUUCUUUGCACAUGUCCAAACCACCGUAACCGAUUUUCUCUCAUCUUUCCUUCAAUUUCGGCUACUCCUACUUUACCCCGGAUAUCCUCAUUCCUAAUCUUAUCCUUUCUCGUGUGCUCACACAUCCAACGAAGCAUCCUCAUCUCCGCUACACCCAUUUUGUAUACGUGUUGAUGCUUCACCGCCCAACAUUCUGUGCCAUACAGCAUCGCCGGCCUUAUUGCCGUCCUAUAAAAUUUUCCCUUGAGCUUCAGUGGCAUACGACGGUCACACAACACGUCGGAUGCACUCUUCCACUUCAUCCAUCCAGCUUGUAUUCUAUGGUUGAGAUCUCCAUCUAAUUCUCCGUUCUUUUGCAAGAUAGAUCUUAGGUAACGAAAACGGUCGCUCUUUGGUAUUUCUUGAUCUCCGAUCCUCACCCUUAACUCGUUUUGGCCUCCAUUUGCACUGAACUUGCACUCCAUAUAUUCUGUCUUUGAUCGGCUUAGGCGAAAACCUUUAGAUUCCAACACUUCUCUCCAAAGGUUAAGCUUUGCAUUUACCCAUUCCUGAGUUUCAUCUAUCAACACUAUAUCGUCUGCGAAAAAUAUACACCAAGGAAUAUCAUCUUGAAUAUGUCCUGUUAACUCAUCCAUUACCAACGCAAAAAGGUAAGGACUUAAGGAUGAACCUUGAUGUAAUCCUACAGUUAUGGGAAAGCUUUCGGUUUGUCCUUCAUGAGUUCUUACGGUAGUCUUUGCUCCUUCAUACAUAUCCUUUAUAACUUGGAUAUAUGCUACUCGUACUCCUUUCUUCUCUAAAAUCCUCCAAAGAAUGUCUCUUGGGACCCUAUCAUACGCUUUUUCCAAAUCUAUAAAGACCAUGUGUAAAUCCUUUUUCCCAUCUCUAUAUCUUUCCAUCAAUCUUCGUAAGAGAUAGAUUGCCUCCAUGGUUGAGCGCCCUGGCAUGAACCCAAAUUGGUUGUUCGAAACCCGUGUCUCUUGCCUAAAUCUAUGCUCAAUGACUCUCUCCCAGAGCUUCAUUGUAUGACUCAUUAGCUUAAUACCCCUAUAGUUCAUGUAAUUUUGUACAUCGCCCUUAUUCUUGUAGAUAGGCACCAAAGUGCUCGUUCGCCACUCAUUUGGCAUCUUCUUCGUUUUCAAAAUCCUAUUAAAAAGGUCAGUGAGCCAUGUUAUACCUGUCUCUCCCAAAACUUUCCACACUUCGAUUGGUAUAUCGUCUGGGCCUACUGCUUUUCUAUGCUUCAUCUUCUUCAAAGCUACAACCACUUCUUCCUUCCGGAUUCUACGAUAAAAAGAGUAGUUUCUACACUCUUUUGAGUUACUCAACUCCCCUAAAGAAGCACUCCUUUCAUGUCCUUCAUUGAAAAGAUUAUGAAAAUAACAUCUCCAUCUGUCUUUAACCGCGUUCUCUGUAGCAAGAACCUUUCCAUCCUCAUCCUUGAUGCACCUCACUUGGUUUAGGUCUCUUGUCUUCUUUUCCCUUGCUCUAGCUAGUUUAUAGAUAUCCAACUCUCAUUCUUUGGUAUCUAGUCGCUUAUACAUAUCGUCAUAAGCCGCUAACUUAGCUUCUCUCACAGCUUUCUUCGCCUCUUGCUUCGCUUUUCUAUACCUUUCACCAUUUUCAUCGGUCCUAUCCUUGUAUAAAGCUUUACAACAUUCCUUCUUAGUCUUCACCUUUAUUUGUACCUCCUCAUUCCACCACCAAGAUUCCUUUUGGUGUGGGGCAAAGCCCUUGGACUCUCCUAAUACCUCUUUUGCUACUUUUCGGAUACAACUAGCCAUGGAAUCCCACAUUUGGUUAGCUUCCCCCUCUCUAUCCCACACACACUGGGUGAUUACUUUCUCUUUGAAAAUGGCUUGUUUUUCUUCUUUUAGAUUCCACCAUCUAGUCCUUGGGCACUUCCAAGUCUUGUUCUUUUUUCUCACUCUUUUGAUAUGUACGUCCAUCACCAACAAGCGAUGUUGAUUAGCCACGCUCUCUCCUGGUAUAACUUUGCAAUCCUUACAAGUUAUACGAUCCCCUUUCCUCAUUAGAAGAAAAUCUAUUUGUGUUUUUGACGACUCACUCUUGUAGGUGAUCACAUGUUCUUCUCUAUUCUUAAAGAAGGUGUUGGCUAAGAAGAGAUCAUAUGCCAUUGCAAAAUCCAAGAUAGCUUCCCCAUCCUCGUUUCUCUCCCCAAAACCAUGGCCACCAUGAAAACCUUCAUAGUUGCCUGUCUCCCUGCCCACAUGUCCAUUUAAAUCUCCUCCUAUAAAUAACUUCUCCGUCUGAGCAAUUCCUUGCACCAAGUCUCCAAGGUCUUCCCAAAAUUUCUCCUUCGAACUCGUAUCCAACCCUACUUGAGGUGCGUACGCACUAAUCACAUUGAUAAGUUCUUGUCCUAUUACAAUCUUGAUUGCCAUGAUUCUAUCUCCUACCCUCUUGACAUCUACAACAUCUUGUGUCAAGGUCUUAUCCACGAUGAUGUCAACACCGUUUCUCGUUCUAUUUGUGCCCGAAUACCAUAGUUUAAACCCUGAGUUUUCUAGAUCCUUUGCCUUACGACCAACCCACUUAGUUUCUUGUAGGCACAUAAUAUUUAUCUUUCUAAACAUAAUACUAAGCGGCAAUAAAAACAUUUUCUUAUUAAAACAUCUUUUUCUCGGUUUCUUUUUACUUUUAUUUUUUAUUCGUAA
rnacentral:lncRNA from 1 species